AUUGAACGCUGGCGGCAUGCUUUACACAUGCAAGUCGAACGGUAACAGGCCACAAGGUGCUGACGAGUGGCGAACGGGUGAGUAAUGCAUCGGAACGUGCCCAGUCGUGGGGGAUAACGCAGCGAAAGCUGCGCUAAUACCGCAUACGAUCUAUGGAUGAAAGCGGGGGGACCGUAAGGCCUCGCGCGAUUGGAGCGGCCGAUGUCAGAUUAGGUAGUUGGUGGGGUAAAGGCUCACCAAGCCAACGAUCUGUAGCUGGUCUGAGAGGACGACCAGCCACACUGGGACUGAGACACGGCCCAGACUCCUACGGGAGGCAGCAGUGGGGAAUUUUGGACAAUGGGCGCAAGCCUGAUCCAGCAAUGCCGCGUGCAGGAAGAAAGGGCCUUCGGGUUGUAACUGCUUUGUACGGAACGAAAAGGACGUCUGGUUAAUACCUGGGCGACAUGACGGUACCGUAAGAAUAAGCA
rnacentral:rRNA from 1 species